AUCCUACUCCCUCCGUCCAGCAAAAGAUGUCAUAAUUUUAUCAAAAUUUGAAUGUAUAUAGACAUGACUUAGUGUAUACAUGCAUUCAAAUUUGGUCAAAGUUGAGACAUCCUUUGUUGGACGAAGUAUACC
rnacentral:pre_miRNA from 1 species